CUGGAAUGAGAAUCUAUUAAAAGUCUGACUCUUUAGUCACAUCUUUCAUUUCGGGAGGAGGAAAACGAGGAGCUAAAUCGGGAACGGAAAAGUUGCAUCUGACUGAAGGGUUUCUCUGUGUAUCUUUGGAGAUUGUCCAGGAAUUCACUCUGUAGAUGAAGCUGACCUCGAACUCAUAGAGAUCCAUCUGCCUCUGCCUUCUGAGUGCUGGGAUUAAAGGCAUGCACCACCAACACCCAGCUUCCCAAAGGUCCUAGUGGAGAAGCAGAUGGAAAAGGCCGAGCACACUCAAUUCCCCAAAUUCCUUUUCAGAAGGCUCUACCCUCCUCAGCCCCCAUUGAAUCCGAAAACUGCUUCAAGUUACACAGUUUACACUGUACAUACAACAUAGACAAAUACCUGCAUUGUACAUACAACAUAGGAAAUACUUGCUCCCCUAACCCUGGG